rnacentral:rRNA from 1 species
GGUUUUCGGAUCGUAAAACUCUGUUGGUAGAGAAGAACGUUGGUGAGAGUGGAAAGCUCAUCAAGUGACGGUAACUACCCAGAAAGGGACGGCUAACUACGUGCCAGCAGCCGCGGUAAUACGUAGGUCCCGAGCGUUGUCCGGAUUUAUUGGGCGUAAAGCGAGCGCAGGUGGUUUAUUAAGUCUGGUGUAAAAGGCAGUGGCUCAACCAUUGUAUGCAUUGGAAACUGGUAGACUUGAGUGCAGGAGAGGAGAGUGGAAUUCCAUGUGUAGCGGUGAAAU